rnacentral:rRNA from 1 species
CUGGCUCAGGACGAACGCUGGCGGCGUGCCUAACACAUGCAAGUCGAACGGACGAAAAGAGCUUGCUCUUGGCGUUUAGUGGCGGACGGGUGAGUAACACGUGAGUAACCUGCCUUUCAGAGGGGGAAUAAUGUCUGGAAACGGACACUAAUACCGCAUAAAAUAUUUUAACCGCAUGAUUGAAAUAUCAAAGGAGCAAUCCGCUGAAAGAUGGACUCGCGUCUGAUUAGCCAGUUGGCGGGGUAACGGCCCACCAAAGCGACGAUCAGUAGCCGGACUGAGAGGUUGAACGGCCACAUUGGGACUGAGACACGGCCCAGACUCCUACGGGAGGCAGCAGUGGGGGAUAUUGCACAAUGGGCGCAAGCCUGAUGCCAGCGACGCCGCGUGAGCGAAGAAGUAUUUCGGUAUGUAAAGCUCUAUCAGCAGGGAAGAAAAUGACGGUACCUGACUAAGAAGCCCCGGCUAACUACGUGCCAGCCGCGGC